rnacentral:rRNA from 1 species
UGGGGAAUAUUGCACAAUGGGCGCAAGCCUGAUGCAGCAACGCCGCGUGAACGAUGAAGGUCUUCGGAUCGUAAAGUUCUGUUGCAGGGGAAGAUAAUGACGGUACCCUGUGAGGAAGCCCCGGCUAACUACGUGCCAGCAGCCGCGGUAAUACGUAGGGGGCUAGCGUUAUCCGGAUUUACUGGGCGUAAAGGGUGCGUAGGUGGUCUUUCAAGUCGGUGGUUAAAGGCUACGGCUCAACCGUAGUUAGCCUCCGAAACUGGAAGACUUGAGUGCAGGAGAGUAAAGUGGAAUUCCCAGUGUAGCGGUGAAAUGCGUAGAUAUUGGGAGGAACACCAGUAGCGAAGGCGGCUUUCUGGACUGCAACUGACACUGAGGCACGAAAGCGUGGGUAGCAAACAGG